UGGGGAAUUUUGGACAAUGGGGGCAACCCUGAUCCAGCCAUGCCGCGUGAGUGAAGAAGGCCUUCGGGUUGUAAAGCUCUUUCGGACGGAACGAAAUGGUCAGGGUGAAUAUCCCUGACUGAUGACGGUACUGUAAGAAGAAGCACCGGCUAACUACGUGCCAGCAGCCGCGGUAAUACGUAGGGUGCGAGCGUUAAUCGGAAUUACUGGGCGUAAAGCGUGCGCAGGCGGCUGUAUAAGUCAGUGGUGAAAGGCUGUGGCUUAACCAUGGGAUUGCCAUUGAUACUGUACGGCUUGAAUUAGGAUGAGGUUGGCGGAAUGUGACAUGUAGCGGUGAAAUGCUUAGAUAUGUCGUGGAACAUCGAUUGCGAAGGCAGCUGACUGGACCUUAAUUGACGCUGAGGCACGAAAGCGUGGGGAGCGAACAGGAUUAGAUACCCACGUAGUCCCUGAGCGGGCUGGCAAGGCGCAU
rnacentral:rRNA from 1 species